CAUGUACUCCCUCCAUCCGAAAAUACUUGUCAUCAAAAUGGACAAAAAGGGAUGUAUCUAAUACUAAAAUACAUCUAGAUACAUCCCCUUUUAUUCAUUUUGAUGAUAAGUAUAUCCGGACGGAGGGAAUAUUUA
rfam:Triticum aestivum genome assembly, contig: Triticum_aestivum_CS42_TGACv1_scaffold_049494_1BS